rnacentral:rRNA from 1 species
GACGUAGGUGGCGAGCAUUAUCCGGAAUUAUUGGGCGUAAAGGGUGCGUAGAUGGCCUGGCAAGUUAACAGUGGAAAAUCGAGGCUCAACCUCGUGGAAACUGAUAAUACUGUCUGGCUCGAGUGCAGGAGAGGUUAACGGAACUCCAUGUGGAACGGUAAAAUGUGUAGAUAUAUGGAAGAACACCAAUAACGGCGAAGGCAGUUAACUAUGCUGUUACUGACAUUGAGGCACGAAAGCGUGGGGAGCGAAACGG